rnacentral:tRNA from 1 species
UCAGUGGUAGUUUAAUGGUAGAAUUCUCACCUUACAUGUGGGAGACCCAGGUUCGAUUCCCAGCCAAUGCA